GCAACUCUGAAGGACUCUUCUAAUAAUACAAACCAAUGUUACCCACUUUGUUAACUUCCCAUGUUUCAUUGGUUGUUUUCUAGUAGUCUUUCUUCUGUUUUCCAAGAAGAGAAGUAAAAACAUACUUUUUACCUGUUGAUAUGCUUCUCACCAUAUUUAAGAAUAUUUUCAGGACUUUAUAGUGUGACUUCUGUAUGUGGUGUUUUUAGGAUCCUUAGCUAUCAAUUUCUAAUGGCCUGCCCAGAGGACUUAAUAUUCUGACACAAAAUCUCCGCUGUCCGUAUUAAGAAGUUCUCUUCCUGGUCGUUCUUUUAAAGUUAUUUUUUCAGUAGUGGAGACUGGUUUCCCAUUGGCUUGCUAGCACCUCAGUUUGCUAUAUUAUAAGAAUAGCAUACUCAACUUUUAGAAUAGAACUAUUAUGUGUGUAUACAUAUUAUGAUAUACACAAUUAGAAUAUAUAAUUAUGACAUAUAACUCUAAGUUAUAUAAUUUGAUUUUACUUUAAAAUAAAAUAGCUGCCGGAUAUGGAUUGGCUGUGUCCCACCAAAAUCUCAUCUUGUAAAGCUCGUAAUUUCCACAUGUUGUGGGAAGGACCCAAUGGUAGGUAAUUGAAUCAUGGGAGCAGGUCUUUCUCAUACUGUUCUCGUGAUAGUGAAUAAGUUUCAUGAGAUCUGAUGGUAUUAUAAGGGAGUUCCCCUGCACAAGCUCUCUCUCUUUGCCUGCUGCCCUUCCUGUAAACCGUGACUUGCUCCUCCUUGCCUCCCACCGUGAUUGUGAGGCCUCCCCAGCCAUGUGGAACUGUCCAGAAAAUGGAGCAAUAAUGUCUCAAAAGAGAAAUUGUUUUCAGCUGGAGCUACGGCUUGGAAAACCAGAUGGUUUUCAGCAAAAACUGAAAACUCAACAAGUCAACUGUUCGGGCCCUUUCCUGCUUCUCACCAUCUGGCCACCUGUUGUGGAGCUCAUCUCAUUUUGGGAAUGA
rnacentral:lncRNA from 1 species